GACGAACGCUGGCGGCGUGCUUAACACAUGCAAGUCGAACGGAAAGGCCCUGCUUUUGUGGGGUGCUCGAGUGGCGAACGGGUGAGUAACACGUGAGUAACCUGCCCUUGACUUUGGGAUAACUUCAGGAAACUGGGGCUAAUACCGGAUAGGAGCUCCUGCUGCAUGGUGGGGGUUGGAAAGUUUCGGCGGUUGGGGAUGGACUCGCGGCUUAUCAGCUUGUUGGUGGGGUAGUGGCUUACCAAGGCUUUGACGGGUAGCCGGCCUGAGAGGGUGACCGGCCACAAUGGGACUAAGAGACGGCGCAGACUCGUACGGUAGGCAGCAGUGGGGAAUAUUGCACAAUGGGCGGAAGCCUGAUGCAGCAACGCCGCGUGCGGGAUGCCGGCUUUUGGGUUGUAAACAGCUUUCGCCUGUGACGAAGCGUGAGUGACGGUAAUGGGUAAAGAAGCACCGGCUAACUACGUG
rnacentral:rRNA from 1 species